ACCUAAACGAUUCUGUGAUUCUGUGAAUGUGACAACAUUGAAACAGCUCAUUUCUGUCUUUCUCUGCUGCAUUCUCUCAGGUGUUACAGACCAGCAGAAAAUGCUUGUGACCAGGGCAAUCCAGUGAAGCAAGCCAUUGCAAAGCCACCCCCCUGACAGAAGGAAGCAAGGCAAAGAGACAUCUGGAGGUGCCUUUUUCAGAGCAAGUUCUUCACAGCAUGGAGUUGUGUAUAUGUGAGCACUGCUUGGAUUUGAAAAGGGAACUGGAACUUGUCAUCAGGAGGCCUUAACCAGUCCUAAUAAGCCGGACAUGCGUAUUCCGUUUUGUCAACAAUGUCUAGCUGCUUCCCAGCCAAUAGCUACUCAAGCUUAGCACAGUCGAGAUAAGGAAAUAGCUUUAGUAUGUAAAAGGAGCCCUUAGGAUACACAGAGUGAGUCCCGCCUGGGUGUCCGACCUGUGCAUCCAGCAGCCUCCCAUCAGCAACCCCUCCACGUGGCUCCCAGGGCUCCCUGCGCAGUUUGGAGUGCAGAUCAGAAGAGGACAGCUGUGUGUUAAAAUCCAUUUCACAGAAUCACUGAGGUUGGAAGGCACCUCUGGAGAUCUUCUGGUCCAACCGCCCCCCCCUGCUCAGAGCAAGAUCAAGUAGAGCAGGUUGCUGAGGGCCUUGUCUGGUUGUGUUGUGAAUAGCUCCACAGAUGAUGACUGCACCACCUCUCUGGGCAACCUGGUCUAGUGUUUGAGAGUAAGGAAGAUUUUUUUUUUCCUUAUGUUUCAAUGUAAUUAUUUUUAUUUUGGCUUGUGCCCAGUGCUUCUCGUUCUGUCCCUGGGUGUUACUGAGAAGACCUUGGCUCUUGUCUUCUUUACACCCUCCCAUCAGUAUAUAUGCACCCUCUUUGCUGAGGUAUACAAUCCCAGCUCUCUCUGCCUUUCCUGAGGAUGUCAGAUGCUCCAAGCCCUGAACUGUCUUCAUGGCCCUUUGAUGGACUUGCUGCAUUCAAUCCAUGUGUUUCUGGUACUGGGGGAGCCCAGCAUGGAACACAGCACUGCAGAUGCGGCCUCACCAGUGCUGAGGACAGGAGGGAUCACCUCCCUUGACCUGCUUGCUGGCUGUGCUCUUCCAAAUGCAGCCCAGGAUGCUGUUGGCCGCCUUUGCCACAAGGGCACAUUGCUAGCUCAUGCUCAACUGGAUGUCUGCCAGGACCCCUCGGGUUCUUUUCUGCCAAGGUGCUUUCCAGCUGAUCGGCCCCCAACACGUACUUCCUCCACAUAUUCCUCCACAGGAGCAGGACUUGACAUUCCCCUCUGCUGAACUUCAUGAGGUUCUUGUUGGCCCUUUUCUCUAGCCUGUCAAGGUCCCCCUGAACGGCUGCACAACUGUCUGGUGUAUCAGCCACUCCUCCCAGUUUUGUAUCAUCUGCAAGUGUAGCUGAGGGUGCACUCCAUCUCAUCAUCCAGGUCAUAAUGCAGAUGUGAAACAGUAUUUUAGCUGGUAUUGACCCCCUGAGGUAUACCCCUAGUGACUGGCCUCCAGCUGGCUGCAACUCUUUGAUGCCAGCAGUUAAGCCAAUUUUCAGUCCACUUCCCUGUCCCUUAUCUAGUUCAUCCUUCAUCAGUGUCUAUGAGGAUGCCAUGGGGGACAGUGUUGGAAGCCUAACUAAAGUCAAGAUAAAUAAUACUCACUGCUCUCCCCUUAUCCACCGAGCUAGUCAAUUCAUCAUAGAAUUACCUUUCUUAUGCCUGUGCUGACUAUUUUACCUUUCUUUAUGUCCAUGCUGACUAUUCCCAAUGACCUUCUGGUCAAAAUUUGUGUGGAGAUGGCUUCUGGGAGGAUUUUCUCCAUCACUUUCUCGGGGAUCAAACUGAGGCUGACAGGCUUGUAGUUUUCCAGAUCCUCCUCCUUGCUAUUCUUGAGGAUAGGAGUGAUGUUUGCUUUCUUCCAGACCUCAGGAACCUCCUCCAAUUGCCGUGGCCUUUCAAAGAUGAUGGAGAGUGGCCUCACUAUGACGACAGCCAGCUCCUUCAACACUCGGACUUAUGCAUGUCCAACUUGUUUAAAUCUUUCUUAACCUUAUCUUUCUCCCCUGACCUUGCAGCAGAUAUCAGGAUGGUGCAAGUCUCCCAUAAGGAUGAGGGCCUGUAAGCAGGAGGCUUCUUCCAGUUGUCUGAAUUGAAUGUCACCUGCUGCUUCUUCCUGAUUGGGAGUUUUUAGCAGACACCCACCAUAAUGUUGGUUUGCCCCUAAUUCUGACCUGUAAGCUCUCAGGUGGAUGAUCUUUAGUCG